rnacentral:rRNA from 1 species
UACGGAGGGAGCGAGCGUUGUUCGGAAUCACUGGGCUUAAAGCGUACGUAGGCGGCCGCACAAGUCAGGAGUGAAAUCCCGGGGCUUAACCCCGGAAUUGCUUUUGAAACUGUGUGGCUGGAGUCCCGGAGAGGUUGGCGGAAUUCCGAGUGUAGAGGUGAAAUUCGCAGAUAUUCGGAGGAACACCAGUGGCGAAGGCGGCCAACUGGACGGGUACUGACGCUGAGGUACGAAAGCGUGGGGAUCAAACAGG